rnacentral:rRNA from 1 species
GAUGAACGCUAGCGGCAGGCCUAAUACAUGCAAGUCGAACGGGUGGUCGCAAGACCACUAGUGGCGCACGGGUGCGUAACGCGUAACCAACCUGCCCCGAUCUGGGGGAUAGCCCGCCGAAAGGCGGAUUAAUACCGCAUAUACCCGCAGCCUGGCAUCAGGCAACGGGGAAAGAUUUAUUGGAUCGGGAUGGGGUUGCGUGACAUUAGCUAGUUGGCGGGGUAAGGGCCCACCAAGGCGACGAUGUCUAGGGGACCUGAGAGGGUGAUCCCCCACACUGGCACUGAGAUACGGGCCAGACUCCUACGGGAGGCAGCAGUAGGGAAUAUUGGGCAAUGGGCGAGGGCCUGACCCAGCCAUGCCGCGUGCCGGAUGAAGGCCUUCUGGGUUGUAAACGGCUUUUCUCAGGGAAGAAAAAGACCUUGCGAGGUACACUGACGGUACCUGAGGAAUAAGCACCGGCUAACUCCGUG